GACAAGGUGGCUGAAUGGCGAAGGCAACGGAUUGCAAACCCGUUAUUUAUGAGUUCGAAUCUCAUCCUUGUCUC
rnacentral:tRNA from 1 species